rnacentral:rRNA from 1 species
AGGACGAACGCUGGCGGCGUGCCUAACACAUGCAAGUGGAGCGACGAACCAGGCUUCGGCCUGGGGCAGAGCCGCGAACGGGUGAGUAACACGUGGGUAACCUGCCCUGAUGAUUGGGACAACCCGAGGAAACUCGGGCUAAUACCAAAUGUGUUCUUGGUCGUGAUGACCAAGAAGAAAGGAAGCCUCGGCCUCCGCAUCGGGAUGGGCCCGCGGCCCAUUAGCUAGUUGGUGGGGUAAUGGCCUACCAAGGCGACGAUGGGUAGC